AACGAACGCUGGCGGCAUGCCUAACACAUGCAAGUCGAACGAGACCUUCGGGUCUAGUGCCGCACGGGUGCGUAACGCGUGGGAACCUGCCCUUAGGUUCGGAAUAACUCGCGGAAAGGGGUGCGAAUACCGGAGAAUAUCCUCGAUCCAAAGAUUUAUCGCCUUUGGAUGGGCCCGCGUUGGAUUAGCUAGUUGGUAGGGUAAAAGCCUACCAAGGGGACGAUCCAUAGCUGGUUUGCGAGGAUGAGCAGCCACACUGGUACUGAGACACGGCCCAGACUACUACGCGAGGCAGCAGUGGGGAAUACUGGAAAGUGGGCGAAGGCCUGAUCCAGCAAUGACGCGUGAGUGAUGAAGGUCUUAGGGUUGUAAAGCUCUUUUACCCGGGAUGAUAAUGACAGUACCGGGAGAAUAAGCUCCGGCUAACUCCGUG
rnacentral:rRNA from 1 species